rnacentral:rRNA from 1 species
UAGGGAAUCUUCCACAAUGGGCGAAAGCCUGAUGGAGCAACGCCGCGUGUGUGAUGAAGGGUUCCGGCUCGUAAACACUGUUGUAAGAGAAGAAUGACAUUGAGAGUAACUGUUCAAUGUGUGACGGUAUCUUACCAGAAAGGAACGGCUAAAUACGUGCCGG